CUGUCCCCGUGUAAAUUCGCCUUUAAGUUGGCAGUUACUAAUUAGUACAAGUAGGUACUUCGUUGGGCAAGGUUAGUAAAGUUAAUAGGUUGCAUGGUAACUACUAGCAACCAUAACGAAGAGAGGGGGCCGAAGUACGAAUGACGUCACAGUGUGCAAGUGACAGCCAUUGAACUGUAUUUCAGGCAGCAAGAUUUAAAUUUGAAACCAUUUUAAAUUGGCUUUUGUGAUAUUUAAAACUUGUUUUCAUUGUGAGAUCAGGUAAAGAUGUCGGGAGGUAUGAUGUGCAGUGUGGCAACCUGCAAAAGUAACAGGCGUAAGGUCACAGGUGAAAGCCUAAAAUUUUUCAGUUUCCCCAAAAACCUGGUAGUACAAAAACAAUGGGUACAAAAAUGCUACCAAAGAGAUAAGUUUGAUACGAAGAAAGAAAAGAUUUGUAGUAAGCAUUUUCAGCCCAGUGAUUACGAGGAUGAAGUGAUGGCUAAUAUAAUGGGAAUUCCUGCCAAAAAACUAAAAAUAGAUGCCAUACCAUCAUUGUAUCUACCAUUUUCUCGUAAAGAAACUAUCACUGAGUCCUCUAGAAAAGAAAGAGCUGCAAGACGAGAAGGAAAGGA